rnacentral:rRNA from 1 species
UACAGAGGUCUCAAGCGUUGUUCGGAUUCAUUGGGCGUAAAGGGUGCGUAGGCGGCGCGGUAAGUCGGGUGUGAAAUCUCGGAGCUUAACUCCGAACUGCAUUCGAUACUGCCGUGCUUGAGGACUGGAGAGGAGACUGGAAUUUACGGUGUAGCGGUGAAAUGCGUAGAUAUCGUAAGGAAGACCAGUGGCGAAGGCGGUUCUCUGGGCCUGUACUGACGGCUGAGGAACGAAAGCGUGGGGAGCGAACAGG